rnacentral:rRNA from 1 species
UACCUGCAGCUCAAGUGGUGGCCGUUAUUAUUGGGCCUAAAACGUCCGUAGCCGGUUUAUUAAAUGCCUGGGUAAAUCGGGCCGCUUAACGGUUCGAAUUCCGGGUAGACUGAUAGACUUGGGACCGGGAGAAGCUAGAGGUACUCCUGGGGUAGAGGUGAAAUUCUGUAAUCCUAGGGGGACCACCAGUGGCGAAGGCGUCUAGCUAGAACGGGUCUGACGGUGAGGGACGAAGCCCUGGGGCGCAAACCGGAUUAGAUACCCGGGUAGUCCAGGGUGUAAAUGCUGCUUGCUUGAUGUUAGUCGGGCUCCGAGCCCGAUUAGUGUCGGAGAGAAGUUGUUAAGCAAGCUGCCUGGGAAGUACGGCCGCAAGACUGAAACUUAAAGGAAUUGGCGGGGGAGCACAGCAACGGGUGGAGCGUGCGGUUU